UUCACAGCUGUACUGGAAGAGCUAAAAACUGUGAAUUACUGCAGCGACUGUCAGCAGGAACUACACAGGAUCACCCACAUCCCCGAAUACCGGAGUAGACCAGAAUAUGAUGCAGCAGCCCUGGAGUUGGCAUUACAGACAAUUGCAAGGCAUUCAAUUGAUGUCCUGGGAAACAGACUUCAGUUCUGUGACUGAGUAGCAGAUGCUUGUAACCACUGAGUCAUCCGCCCUGCACUGAACAGCUUACAGUAAUCACAGAUAGGCAUCUUCUAGCAAGGCUUCGAUUUGGGUGUUGGAUGUUCACAUCUUGAGCAAGGUCACAGUAACCUUUGAAAUGAAGAUACUCUAUGAAACUGUCAGAUGCAGUUGUUUAUGUACUAUUACUGCCAAGCUUACUGAGUUCCCUGUUAGUUGUAUGUUACCUUCUACAAGAGUGCUGUGGAACUGAGAAGUCAAUGAGUAAACAGUAAGGGAAAUCUGUCUUAACAUUUUUACCUUUUAUCCAUAAUCAACAAGUAAUGACAAAAUGGAGAUGCAUUCCCAGACUAUUUAUUAAUUUUUAUUCUUUUCUCAAACAAUGUAUCAAAAUUUUCUUAAGGGAAAUGAAAGAGCAGUUUCCCCUCCUUCGUUACUCACAGGCCACAACUCCACUUCCCCUCUGCUUCAGAUCCACUGUUCCUUCAUUUCCCUUAAGGAAAGAGCAGGCCCCCAGGUAUAUCAACUAAACACCCAAUAGCAAGUUACAAUAAGUCUAGGCACAAACCCUCAUGUCAGGGCUGGGUGAGGUCAUCCAGUAGAAGGAAAUGGGUCCCAAAGCAGGCAAAAAAGUCAAAAAUUACCCCCACUCCCACUGUUUGGAAUCUCACAAAGCACCAAGCUAACAGCCAUAACAUAUGUAGAAUAUGAACACAGGCUCCCUGUUUGUUACACAGACCCAUGUAGGCUCUGGGAUUAUCAUUUAAGUCUCUCUGAGCCCCUAUGAGUUCUGCUUGGUUGUCAUUGUGGGUCAUGUUCUCCUAGUGCCUUCGACAUCUCUAGCUGCUAUAAAUCUUCCUUUACCUAUUCUUUACAAUUUUCCAAGCUCCAAUGGGAAGGACCCAGUAGAAAUCUCCAGUUUGUGCUCUUUUCUGCCUAAUGUUUGGCAAUGAGUCUCUGUAUCUCCUCUCAUCUGCUGUAGGAAACCUCUCUGAUGAAAACUGAAGUAGUCACUGAAUUCUGAGCAUAGUAGAAUAUCAUUAUGAAUCAUUUUAUUGAAUUGUUUUCUGUUUUAUGUGAUGG